rnacentral:rRNA from 1 species
GACGAACGCUGGCGGCGUGCUUAACACAUGCAAGUCGAACGAAGCGGCGAACGGGUGAGUAACGCGUGAGGAACCAGCCUCUCACAACGGGAUAGCCUCGGGAAACCGGGAUUAAUACCGUAUGGUGAGAGAUUGCCUCGCGUCGGAUUAGGUAGUUGGGGGGGUAACGGCCUACCAAGGCGACGAUCAGUAACCGGCCUGAGAGGGUGAACGGUCACUUUUGCACUGGUACACGGUCCGAACUCCUACGGGAGGCAGCAGUGUCGAAUCUUGCACAAUGGGGGGAACCCUGAUGCAGCUACGCCGGUUGAGCGAUGAAGGUUUUCGAAUCGUAAUGCUCUGUCCUAUGGGAAGCGGUACCAUAGGAGGAAGCCCCGGCUAACUACGUGCCAGCAGCCGCGGUAAUUC